GUGUUCACUUCUGUAGUACAUGUACUAAAAUUUGUCAAUACAGAGAUUAGUGUGGCCCCUAUGCAAGGAUGAUAAAACAAAUUCAUGAAGUGUUCCAUAUGUUU